rnacentral:rRNA from 1 species
GGAUAUCUCGGCUCUCGCAUCGAUGAAGAACGUAGCGAAAUGCGAUACUUGGUGUGAAUUGCAGAAUCCCGUGAACCAUCGAGUCUUUGAACGCAAGUUGCGCCCGAAGCCUUUAGGCCGAGGGCACGUCUGCCUGGGCGUCACGCAUCGCGUCGCCCCCAAUCCCCGCGCGCAUCGCCGGGCGGUCGGGGGUGGAGAUUGGCCUCCCGUGCGCCUCGGCGCGCGGCCGGCCCAAAUGGGAUCCCCGGGCGGCUGGCGUCGCGACAAGUGGUGGUUGAACAUCUCAAUCUCUCUCGCGGUCGCGCCGCCGUGCCGUCCCGUACGGGCAUCGAUAAACGACCCAACGGCGGGUGGGCGCGUUCGUUCGCGCCCCCCACCUUCGACCGCGACCCC